rnacentral:misc_RNA from 1 species
ACCUCUCUCAUGUGUCCGAGUCAACAAGGUGGCGGUGAAGUCAUUCUGCGACUUCACAUCGAACAUCGUCCCAAAAUACAACAAAUUCAACAGAUCCUCGACCGCGUAACCACAGUCACCAGGAGUGCCUUUAUCGGACUCGCAGUUGCUUUUCUCGCUAUCAUCCUUAUCCGGAAUUGCAUUGUCGGAAAUGGAAGAUUGUUGCUGGUGACUUUGGAGGGCGAGGGCGAUUUCUUCAGAGACGGCUGU